rnacentral:rRNA from 1 species
GAUGAACGCUGGCGGCGUGCCUAAUACAUGCAAGUCGAGCGAACGGACGAGAAGCUUGCUCCUCUGAUGUUAGCGGCGGACGGGUGAGUAACACGUGGAUAACCUACCUAUAAGACUGGGAUAACUUCGGGAAACCGGAGCUAAUACCGGAUAAUAUUUUGAACCGCAUGGUUCAAUAGUGAAAGACGGUCUUGCUGUCACUUAUAGAUGGAUCCGCGCUGCAUUAGCUAGUUGGUAAGGUAACGGCUUACCAAGGCAACGAUGCAUAGCCGACCUGAGAGGGUGAUCGGCCACACUGGAACUGAGACACGGUCCAGACUCCUACGGGAGGCAGCAGUAGGGAAUCUUCCGCAAUGGGCGAAAGCCUGACGGAGCAACGCCGCGUGAGUGAUGAAGGUCUUCGGAUCGUAAAACUCUGUUAUUAGGGAAGAACAUAUGUGUAAGUAACUGUGCACAUCUUGACGGUACCUAAUCAGAAAGCCACGGCUAACUACGUG